CAGGAUAGGACGAAGGGCUGGUCUGGGCUCCGCCCUCAACAUAAGCUCAUGCGCUGUCCGUACCCGCAGGCGCGAGGGCGGGACGGGAGCUGUGGGCGUGCGCAGUAUCACGCGGUGGCGCCAUCUCGCCCUGCCGUGGAGGGCUGGGGGUUCUCUCCGGGAGGUGGCGCAGCCCCGUUGCUCUUUCAACGGAAGAAGGAGACAAGCUCAGAGCCACGAAGCCACCAGCCACAGUCAACAAUGUGCCGAAGGGACAAAGCAUAGAUUGGGACCCAGAUGGAGUCUCACUCUGUUGUCAGGCUGGAGUGCAGUGGCACAAUCUCGGCUCACUGCAACCUCCGCCUCCCGGUUUCAAGAGAUUCUCCAGCCUCAGGCUCCCGAGUAGCUGAGACUAUAGGCGUGCGCCACCACACCCGGCUAAUUUUUGUAUUUUUAAUAGAGACGGGGUUUCACCAUAUUGGCUAGGCCUGUUGGCUAGGAUGUUCUUGAUCUCCUGACCUCGUGAUCCCCCAACCUGAGCCUCCCAAAGUGCUGGGAUUACAGGCGUGAGCCACCGCACCCGGCCAGCAUUAAAUCUUAUAAUCUAUGAACCUGGUAUAUCUCCCUAUUUAUUUAUUUAUUUAUUUAUUUAUUUAAUUUAUAUUUUGAGAGGGAGUCUCGCUCUUUCACCCAAGCCAGAGUGCAGUGGCGCUAUCUCGGCUCACUGCAAGCUCUGCCUCCCAGGUUCACGCCAUUCUCCUGCCUCAGCCUCCCGAGUAGCUGGGACUACAGGCGCCCACCACCGCACCUGGCUAAUUUUUUGUAUUUUUAGUAGAGACGGGGUUUCACCGUGUUUGCCAGGAUGGUCUCGAUCUCCUGACCUCGUGAUCCGCCUGCCUCGGCCUCCCAAAGUGCUGGGAUUACAGGCGUGAGCCACCAACGCCCGGCAAUCUCCCAAUUUAUUUAGCCAUUCCUUAACUUCUACCAGCAAUGUUUUUUAGUUUUCAGUGUAUAGGUCUUGUAAAUCUUUUGUCAGGUUAUCCCUAUGUAUUUCAUAUUUUAUGAUAUUAUAAAUGUUAUUAAAAUUUUUUAAAUUUCUGAUUUUUGUUUCCUUAUGCUUAAAAAUAUGAUUGACUUUUGCACAUUAUUCUGUGAUCUUGUAAAAAUCAUUUAUUAGUUUUAGGAGUUUCUGUAGAUUUCCUGGAGUUUUUUUUGUGACAACUAUGUCAUUAGUGAAUAAAGACAGUUUUAUUUUUCUUCCUUUUCAAUCGA